rnacentral:tRNA from 1 species
GGAGAAAUGGCAGAGUGGUCGAAUGCACUGGUCUUGAAAACCAGCGUACCGAGAGGUACCGGGGGUUCGAAUCCCUCUUUCUCCGCCA